AAUAUACGAAUUUUACGCUUCCACACUAAACUAAAUGAUAAAACUGUCUUCUUCUUUUUUUUUUUUUUUGGUGUGCGCGCGCAAAACAUACUUAAUUUAUCACAAUGCAAAGCCAUUAAACGAUUACUUCUAUGGUUGGGCCUUAGUUAGACCCAUUAAACAAUUCCUUUCUUCUGUUGGACCUUAACUUAACCAGUGAGGCCCACUCCAUCUCUAUCCUGAAAACACAUCAUCUUCUUUUGUUUCAACCAGUGAAUCUUUUUUCAGGAAUUUCCUUGCUAACUAGUAAUGCAUGGAUG
rnacentral:lncRNA from 1 species